rnacentral:rRNA from 1 species
AGAGUUUGAUCCUGGCUCAGAACGAACGCUGGCGGCAGGCUUAACACAUGCAAGUCGAACGUGAAGCAGGAGCUUGCUCCUGUGGAAAGUGGCAGACGGGUGAGUAACGCGUGGGAAUUUACCCAGUGGUUCGGAAUAACUUCGGGAAACGGGAGCUAAUACCGGAUACGCCCUUCGGGGGAAAGAUUUAUCGCCAUUGGAUGAGCCCGCGUCGGAUUAGCUUGUUGGUGAGGUAAAAGCUCACCAAGGCGACGAUCCGUAGCUGGUCUGAGAGGAUGAUCAGCCACACUGGGACUGAGACACGGCCCAGACUCCUACGGGAGGCAGCAGUGGGGAAUAUUGCACAAUGGGCGCAAGCCUGAUGCAGCCAUGCCGCGUGAGUGAUGAAGGCCUUAGGGUUGUAAAACUCUUUCGCCAGGGAAGAUAAUGACGGUACCUGGUAAAGAAGCCCCGGCCAACUCCGUGCCAGCAGCCGCGGUAAUACGGAGGGGGCUAGCGUUGUUCGGAAUUACUGGGCGUAAAGCGCGCGUAGGCGGGCUGGUUAGUUGGGGGUGAAAUCCCGAGGCUUAACCUCGGAACUGCCCUCAAUACUGCCAGUCUUGAGUUCGAGAGAGGUAAGUGGAAUUCCUAGUGUAGAGGUGAAAUUCGUAGAUAUUAGGAAGAACACCAGUGGCGAAGGCGGCUUACUGGCUCGAUACUGACGCUGA